UAGAAUUUAAAUUAGAAUAUAAACUCAAAAUAAACAUAUAGAUGUAUUUGUAGACAACAAUUUUUAUUUUAACUGAAAACAAAGAGUUCUUGACUUGAACAGGUCCUGAUUGGUUUUAUAAGGACACUGAAGUCCCUGCUAAUACAAAUUCUCAAAAAUGUCUCAUUUAUUUUUAAAUAACUUUGAAAUGUUUCCUCAUACUGUUAGAGGCAUUCUUAUUUGGUAACAUGGGAAUGAACCCUUUUCUGUUAAUACUGCUGUUUUAAUACAAUCCUUAAGAAGGCCUCUCACUGCUUUACUUUCACUUGUAUAGUUUGUUGUUUUAUAAAGAUGAUCUAAACCACAGUACCAGAUCUGUGGCCUAUUAGGGACGGGGCCACAGAGGUCAGCCCCCACCACCACCCCGCCCCAGCGGUCCAGAAAACUUGUCUUCCAUGAAACUGGUCUCUGGUGCCAAAAAUGUUGGGGAGCACUGAUCUAAACUUGAAGUCCCAGGAAAUAAUUUUAACCAAUGAAGUUUACACUAUUUCAGUUUAAAGAGUUUAAGUGAUGCUUCAGGUUGAAAGUCAUAAUUAGCUAAAAAUAUUCAACAGCUGCAUCUUGAGUAGUAAAAGAUAAACAGUUAACGCAACAUUGCCUUAGGUUUUUCUGACUCUGAUUCGUCAUCUCUUCUAAAAACUGGAACUUCAAGGAAUGUCAAAUGUAGACCACAUCUGAGUCAUGCUUCUGAACCUAUAAAAAAUGUUUCACCUUAUAUUAAUCUUAUUACUCAAAAGUUAAAAUUCUUGUUCAUGAUUAUCUUCCCAGUACCACCCUAUAAUGGAUUCUUUUAAGGAUUGAUUUAUUUCGCUUUUUGAACGCAAGCUGGUAGUAUGUAUAUUUGGUAAGAAUGAUGUUUCAAAGUUAAGCCUUUUCUAUCAGUGCAGCUCUUUUCUGUGAAGUUUCGCUUGUACCCCAUAUACAAUCAUUUGCUCCAGCCUCUGGAACCCUGUGCCACAUUAAAAUUCACUUAAAGGCCUUGAUUUGUUCCACCUUAUAUUAGAAUUGCUUAAAUAUCUCUUCCAUGAUAGAUUGUGAGCUCCUUAAGGGCAAGGGACUUAGCCAUGUGUAUGUCUCCCGCCAUGCUUUGGACCUAGUAGAUGUGGAAUAAAUGUUGAAGCAAUAAGCAUGUACUAGCUCAGUGAGGGCCCAUGCCAUCAAAAAGAAGAGGGGUAAUGAAGUAUUUGGCUAAUGGCUUUUUCAAAUCCAUCGUUAAGCUGGGAUAGUUUUUGUCAGCUAAGCCAGAGCUUCCCACCCUUCUUCGUACUAUAAACAGCCACACCCGUGAUUUUAACCCGCACACUACCCUCAAGUCCACAGUACCCCAAUGAUUAUGGUAGUAAUGAGGUUCCUUAAUUACCUUUAUAGUUUUUUUGUGUGCCUGCUCUUAUAUUAUUGAAAUGCAAAAUAUUAUUUGAAAAUGCUUUCUACUGUUGAACAAGGGAAUUGGUUGUGGAUACAGAGUUUACCACUAACAGCAUUUAAUGGCUGAGAUGUUAGCAGCCAUUGAUUUUCAUCCUGAUUUUUACCCCCACAUGUAUUUAUCCACAAUGGUACCUUCAAAAUUAAAGGACUCUAAAUAUGAUUUUAUUGCAUCACAGUUCUUCUCAGCUAAACAUAUUCCGAACUAAAUCUUUAUCAGCCUGGCUAUUCCAACUUCUGCCUAGGAAUAAUUUCAUAAUACUCUGUGUACACAUAAUUGAAUUACCCAGGAAGGCCCCUUCCAGAUACCCCUGGAAAAGUCAUCAGUUUCACUAAUUUCCUAAUUGAGUCUGCAGGUUUUCAGUUUUCCCCUGGUGGAGAAUGGAGGGAAAUGGUUGUGAGGUUGAAGAAAGCAAAGUCAUUUUUACAGUGGAGAAGAGUGGGUUCUGCCUGGUGAGCCACUAGAAAUGCCAGAAGCUUCAUGAGUGGCACUCCAGUCCUGUGGCAGAAAAGCAUAAGAGAGGCAGCUGAGCUUGACCAAGAGAAAAGGGCCACAGGCUUAUUCCUGUCACAUGAAGAUAGAAUAGAUCAAAACUAAGAAUAUCUUAAUAGUGUGUGUAUUUGAAGUUAAAACUGCAGAUUGUGCAAAGACUUUGGACAUAAACUGGCAUGACAAAGGAGUAAUAUCAAAGCAUUUCUUGAAGAAAUGAGUGUAUUGAAAUAAUUGUGUAAUGCUUGAGUGAUAACUGAUUUUCUUAGAGACAUAAAGUGAUUGCUUGGAACUUCAAUAAUUUUAUUGAACAUGUUCCCAUAAUUAGUUUUCGUAACAGUACAAAAUGUUAUUUUUAAAAACAAUUGUCAUCACUGCAGUUGGGAUUUUGCUUUGAAGUACAGUUAAAAGGACAUUACUGCUGUGUAAAUAAAAUUCUUAUGAAAUCAAAAACAGCUAGGUAGACCUCCAUUUACGAAGGGUAUAACUUGAAAAAUUCGUAAAACUCACUUUGGGGGCUCCUCUAAGAGGGCAGACAUCCUCCAGAUUCUUGGGAAAUGGAGUACAAAGGGGCCACCAUGACCUCAAUGAGGAAAGCUGAGCAAGCCUCUGGUACUAAGGGGCCGGGGCUGGUGAAGGCAGACUGCUUACAAAUAUGACAAAGAAUCCAAAGUCACAAGGGCAGUCAAUUACAGGUAGUGAUUUACCAUAAAGCUACUUCUCACAGGGCCAACUCUUCCUAGUGUGUUCUGGUGUCAAAAGGGUCAGAGGUUUAUUUACAAUAGUUCAUCAUCAACCCUGGAGAAGCCAGCUAGUCCUUAAAAAAAUAUUUAUCCCCAAACUCAAAAAUCUGUAUUCUCAACAAUAGUCCCAAAAUUUAUGUUUAUGUGUGCAGUUGCAUAAAAAUGUUUUAUAAAAUGUUUAGAAAUAUGGUAACAGACCUCUCCCAACUCCCUGAUGGGGCAACUUAGCUAUCAAAAUUAUUGUAGUUGACACUAAGAGUCUGGAAGAAAACAGAAAGGAUAAGGAUUGCCAAACAAUUUUGAAAAAGGAGAAAAUUAUCUUACCGAAUAGUAAAACUUUCUAUAAAGCUACUACUUUCAAAGAAAUAUAAAAUAGCACAGAAGUUCAAUCAAUAUAUCGGAGUCCAGAACCAAAAGCAUAUGAUAUUAUGUUCUGGUAGGCAGAAUAAUGCCCUUCCAUCCAAUCAAA